UACGGAGGGUGCGAGCGUUAUCCGGAUUCACUGGGUUUAAAGGGUGCGUAGGUGGUCUGUUAAGUCAGUGGUGAAAUCUCCGGGCUCAACCCGGAAACUGCCAUUGAUACUAUCAGUCUUGAAUAUCGUUGAGGUAAGCGGAAUAUGUCAUGUAGCGGUGAAAUGCUUAGAUAUGACAUAGAACACCAAUUGCGAAGGCAGCUUGCUAACCGAAUAUUGACACUGAGGCACGAAAGCGUGGGGAUCAAACAGG
rnacentral:rRNA from 1 species